UAAAGAUCACACGCUUAAGAAGUUUGGACAAAAAGGAAAGAAGAGACCGGUCUGUAGGUGUUUUCUUCAGAUGGGAUAACUCUUGCCUCCUUCAGAGAGUUGGGAAAAGUCAGAUGACAGAAGAGUUAAUGAGACAGGUGAGGAAAGGAAGAAGGUCAGGAGCGAUAGAUUGUAGCAUAUGGGGUGCAAUGGGGUCAAGAGGCCAGGUGGUCGGACGGGCAGAGGUUACUACGGUAAGAAUACGGUUAGGAGACAGGGGGAGUGAAAGGAAAGUGAGGGCGAUGGAGGUAGAAGUCGGUGGGACACAAGUAAUAGGAGAUAGGUUUGAGAAAGGAGCGUAAAAUAGUUGACAAAGGUCCCGGAAGAAGGGUGGAGGGGGGAGGAGGACUCCGGCGUCAGAGAAGGUUGUGGAAGAGAGAAGAGUUUUUGGGGGUUAGAAAAAGAGGAUUCAAUUGGAUUGGUAGAAAGAGCUUUUGGGAGCGGAGACAGAAGCAGAAAAAGAGGAGAGACAAGAUUGAAACGCAAGCAGGUCAUCACGUUGUUUAUAUUAACUUCACUUUACUCCUUUCUGAUGCAUGCAUGGUGGCUCUCACAGCACGCACCGGUUGAGACAGCCACAGAGCCUGGAGGGGAUUUGCUAGUCCGUCGUGUUGUAAGAGGAGGAAAGAGUUGAGAGAAGAGUCUCUGCGUCAGUGUUCGGAGUGAGAAGGAGUCAGUUGAAGGGAGAGCUGAUAGAACAGAGGAGGGAGAGAGGGAGCGAAUGUCAGUUGAUGGGGUGGGGUCGUUAGUUCGAGGGAGCGGAAGAGAGUAGGCGAUGAAGAAGUUGUCAGACGUGAAAUGAAGUUACAGUGAGGUUAGAGGUAAAGCAGUUUCUGGGGAAGAUAUAGUCAAGGUGAUUACCGGCUUUUUGAGUAGGAGGAGAGUGGCACUAGUGCCAAAGAAGAAAGUAGGAAUAAAACGUCAGAUGACUUCUGUCUGGAUUUUAAAGUAAAGUGACAGCCGCAUGAUGCACUGCUUGGCAGUUUUCAUCCUGGAAAGAAACACAAGGCGAUUUUGAUAUUAUGGUAAGGUAGAUGGGCGUGGGCAGCACACAAGAGUCACAGGGAGGUUCUUCCGACUUGAAAAAUAAGGUAUUUAUUUAAACAUAUAUAUAUAAAAAGUGGCGCACAAGGACGGGUUGAUUCUGCAGGGAAGACUGGCCUCAGAGAGCCCCAGGUAGGAAUCUUCCAGUACUAGGGCAAAAACAGAAAAAGAUGAACAAAGACAGCGUCUUAUCCACAGUGAGCAGCCAGACGGCCUGAAUAGGCAGUUUACCACUCUGACGUCGGAACGAUCUGGCACUGAAUGGCAGGAAGACCCGGGUUCAUAUAGACCCUUUUCACGUCACGCAACUUCCGUUUUUACUCAAAGCCGGGUAAUGUUUACUUCAGCCAGCAUAGAGGAACGCUAUGGAAUAUACACCGUUCCUUCCAAAACAUGGCAAAAAUAAAUCUAGAUGAUGUACAGCGGCUGGCAGACAAAUUUUCACUCACAACACGUUCCAAACGUGAUAAAGGAUAUAAAUUCUUCAUUGAACAGUACCUGUUUGCGUAUGAAGGUAAGCAUUUUGUACUGUCCCGCCCAAAAUUACGUUAGCGGAGGAGUUAGGAUAACGGUAGUUUUUUCUUCUGCAGUGAAAGUCCAUAUUCUUUAUUAAUUUACUGUAACACAGACCUGAAAAACUCUUGUUGCAGUUAUGUUUAUUA
ensembl:lncRNA